rnacentral:rRNA from 1 species
AGCGAACGCUGGCGGCAGGCCUAACACAUGCAAGUCGAACGAAGUCUUCGGACUUAGUGGCGGACGGGUGAGUAACACGUCGGAACGUACCAUUUGGUUCGGAACAACUCAGGGAAACUUGAGCUAAUACCGGAUGAGCACUUAGGGGGAAAGAUUUAUCGCCGAAAGAGCGGCCCGCGUUAGAUUAGCUAGUUGGUGAGGUAAAGGCUCACCAAGGCUACGAUCUAUAGCUGGUCUGAGAGGAUGAUCAGCCACACUGGGACUGAGACACGGCCCAGACUCCUACGGGAGGCAGCAGUGGGGAAUCUUGCGCAAUGGGCGAAAGCCUGACGCAGCCAUGCCGCGUGAAUGAUGAAGGUCUUAGGAUUGUAAAAUUCUUUUACCAGGGACGAUAAUGACGGUACCUGGAGAAAAAGCCCCGGCUAACUUCGUGCCAGCAGCCGCAGUAAUAC